UUCGGAAAAUUGUCUGAAUCCUCCUUUGGCCACGACUGCCGACACAAGCAAGAAAACAAAGUAAAUACCGGAGACUCUGGAGGAAUAACGGGCGCUUAAAACGGAGGUAGACCGGACAAGAGCUAAAAAGCCGGGUCAACAUAAACGAUGGGGGACGCUUGGGGAUCUUCGUGACCCUGUAACCUUUCUGCUGGACAGGUAAACCGCUUUAACAAAGUAAGACAAGUGUCUGUAACAGAAGUGUUUCUUGUCAAACGGACCUGCUGUAGCGUGUUGUAGCGCCAUCGCUAAACUGUCCUCCCUCGGGUCCUGGACUAUGUCACUUUAUCCUCGUUGUAGAAGUCCUGCAAACAUUGUGUUUGCUGGUAGUCUGUUGGCAUCUACAGUAGCACCAAUGCUUUUGACUUUCACCUUGACUGGGCCCCAUUUGUAAUGAUCUGAAGUAUUUAUCUGCAUUAUAUCUGAAUUUAACUGGAACGAUACGAGCGAGCAGGAGCGUCUGUUUGUGGGCGGGGCUUGAGAGAGAGAGAGAGAGAGAGAGAGAGAGAGAGAGAGAGAGAGAGAGAGAGAGAGAGAGAGAGAGAGAGAGUGUUUCUCUGUGUUGUCCCUUUAACUCUGUGGCUCUAAAACAGUUGAAGUGUGUUUCUGCUCGAUGAGGUUUCUAUGAGGUGAAUAAAUGUUGGUUCAGUUGAUCUUCAGGACGGCUGCAGCUUUAAGAACUUCUGCUUGUUGGAGUUUGAGAGUCUAAAGUUCACAGAGACGCUCCUCCUCCUGGAUUGUAGACAAACUGGAUCCCCCCCUCCCUCGUCUCUCUCAGCUCACUCCACUCUGCACUCUCACUUCCUUGUUCCCUCCCCUUCCAUCCUCCCUCCCCCUUCAGAUCUACAGUCUUGGUUGGCUGUAACCUCCGUGUGCUGAGGUCAUAUCCUGUUGACUCACUCAUGUUGUUGAGAUCAGAGCUCAGACUAGUUUCACUUCUCAGGAAAUAAAACUCAGUCAGUCAGUCGUCGACAGCGAGUGUUGAAAUGGCGCAGAAAGGAGUUCAUCUGGACCGUGAGUCUUUCUCUUGUUCCAUCUGUUUGGAUCUUCUGAAGGAUCCGGUGACUGUCUCCUGUGGACACAGCUUCUGCAUGAGCUGUAUUCAAUCCCACUGGGAUACUGAGGUUGAGAGGAUGAUCUACAGCUGUCCUCAGUGCAGAGAGACCUUCAGACCGAGGCCUGUCCUGAAGAAAAACACCAUGUUAGCAGGUUUAGUGGAGGAAGUGAAGAAGAGCGGACUCCAAGCUGCUCCUGAUGGUUCCUCUGAGGCUGGACCUGAAGAUGUGGCCUGUGAUUUCUGCAGUGGGAGAAAACUGAAAGCUGUCAAGUCCUGUCUUCAAUGUCUGGUUUCUUACUGUCAGAUUCACCUCCAGCCUCAUUUUGAAUCUCCUUCAUUUAAGAAACACAAGCUGGUGGAGCCCUCCAAGACGCUCCAGGAGAACAUCUGCUCUCGUCAUGAUGAGGUGAUGAAGAUCUUCUGCCGCACUGAUCAGAAGUCCAUCUGUUACCUCUGCUCUGUGGAACAACACAAAGGUCACGACACAGUCUCAGCUGCAGCAGAAAGGACUGAGAGGCAGAAAGAUCUGGAGGAGAGUCGAGGAAACAUCCAGCAGAGAAUCCAGGACAGAGAAGAAGAUGUGAAGCUGCUCCAACAGGAGGUGGAGGCUAUCAACGGCUCUGCUGAUAAAGCUGUGGACCACAGCCAGAAGAUCUUCAGCCAGCUGAUCCGUCUGAUGGAGAAACGCCGCUCUGAGGUGGAGCAGCAGGUCAGAUCCCAGCAGGAACGUGAAGUGAGUCGAGUCAAAGAGCUUCAGGAGAAGAUGGAGCAGGAGAUCACUGAGCUGAAGAGGAAAGACGCUGAUCUGCAGAAGCUCUCACUCACAGAGGACCACAACCAGUUUCUGCACAGCUACCCCUCACUGUCAGAACCGGGUCAACCUGCAGACUCAUCCAGAAUCAACAUCCGUCCUCAGAGAUACUUUGAGGAGGUGACAGCAGCUGUGUCAGAGCUCAGAGAGAAACUCCAGGAUCUUCUGACAGAGACGUGGACAAACGUCUCACAGGCAGUGACUGAUGUGGAUGUUUUACUGUUAGAACCACCAGAACCAGCAGAACCCAAGACCAGAGCUGGUUUCUUAAGAUAUUCACAAAGAAUCACACUGGAUCCAAACACAGUAAACAGAGAGCUGAUAUUAUCUGAUGGAAACAGAAGAGCAACAAAGACAGAAGAAGAAGAAGAAGAAGAGUCUUAUCCUGAUCAUCCAGACAGAUUCACUGGUAGGAUUCAGGUCCUGAGUAGAGAGAGUCUGACUGGACGUUGUUACUGGGAGGUGGACUGGAGAGGGGACAGGGUUGAUGUAGCAGUCGUAUACAAGACUAUCAGGAGAGACGGAGACUCAGAGGAUUGUUUAUUUGGAUUCAAUGACAAAUCUUGGAGGUUAGACUGUUCUAAAUCUUGUUAUACAUUUUGGCACAACAAAGUCUUCACUCCUGUCUCAGGUCCUCGGUCCUCCAGAGUAGGAGUGUUCCUGGAUCACAGAGCAGGUAUUCUGUCCUUCUACAGCGUCUCUAAAACCAUGACUCUCCUCCACAGAGUCCAGACCACAUUCACUGAACCUCUACAUGCUGGACUGGGGUUAUGGUUUGAUGGAGCCUCUGCUGAGUUUAUAGAAGUGAACUAAAGAGAAUUUUGAGUCCAUCAGACCAAAAUCAUGGACUGAGAUCCUUGAACUCUUGAAAUGUUCUGGUUUGUAAAUGUUUGUGGAUCAGUCUCACCAAAAACUCUGGGUUUAGUUCUUCAUUUCAGCUUUUUGAUUCUUUUCUAAAGAUGCUGAUUUGGUCGCAGCUUUAAGGACAGUGAUUGUGGAGAACUUUGAUUGUUUGUAUUUCUCAUGUUGAAAAAUCUUCAUCCAGUUUGAUAUCAACAACAUCAAGAUGAUGGUUUGUUCAAAUCACCUUCAGUUGGUGCAGAUGUUGAAGGUCUGAGACUUUAGAAAAAAGUGAGGUCAAAAUCACAGAAAAAGGACGACCUUAUUUCCUGUCCCAAAUCCAAGCGUCUAAAGUCUUUCCAGUCGUCCCCAAAAACUCUUCAGAUGAUCUGUUUCUUUCUCUGUUUGCUGAAUAUUUGUGUUCAUGUGAUCGAUGGAUAUUUCUGUCUGCUUCUGUUGGAUCAGUGUGUUUGUAAAGACAUCUAGAAUCAGACUUUGGACAGAUCUACAUGUUGUUAUGAGCUUUUCAAUCACUCUAAUAAUAAUAAUCACAUUCAUUAGUCCGACUGUUUGGAUGUUUCUGACUCAGCUCAGAUUGUGGUCAAGUCUCUGAUUGUGGGUAAAAAAAUCAUAAAAAUCCUCAAACUGAGUCACUGAAAUCACCUCGUCUGUUUGUCUUUAUUGUGUUUGUUUCUGCUGGAUGUCAUGUUACCGCUCCGUCUGGGUCAUGGAUCCAUGUGGUCUUCCAUGUCCCAGAUGUGAGUCCUGCAGCUGGAUCAGGUUUUCUGUAGAGGACAAAGACAGGAGGCAGGUUGUGUGUCUUUUUGAUUUGAUGUAACCAGACUAGUCCUGUUGAGAUCAUCAAUCUCUUUUUCAGGGGGGGUCCUGACCAAGAAUGGCAGCAAAACACAAACACACUCAGACUCACACAGAUCCACAUCAGCAACAAGAACUCAGUGUUCAUAUGAGAGAGUCCAGCUGAUCUCUAGUCUAAGGACAGAAGUCUGGACCACGAGAAGAAAACCAACUUAAAGGUGAAGUAGACAGGAAUCUGUUAAAGAAGCAUCUUUUUAUUUUGUGGUUUUUAUACAAAAAUCUUCUAAUAUCAGUCAAUAGUUAUUGAUGACAUUUGGUAAUAUAACUAUAUCUCUCUGUUCGCCCGAACAAAGUUAGCGUGCUACAAUAUCGGACAGUAGAAACCAACCAGAAAGUUCGGAAAAUUGUCUGAAUCCUCCUUUGGCCACGACUGCCGACACAAGCAAGAAAACAAAGUAAAUACCGGAGACUCUGGAGGAAUAACGGGCGCUUAAAACGGAGGUAGACCGGACAAAACUGGUUUCCUGCUCCUGAAGGUUGUUCAGUUUCCCUCUCUUUGGUUCUGAUUUACUGAUGUGUUUUCUCUGAAAUAAACAACAACAGUUCGUCGGCCAUGUUGUAAAAUCCUCUCCUAACCUGACUCUCCUAAUCUGACUCUCUCUAACCUGACUCUCUCUAAUCUGACUCUCUCUAAUCUGACUCUCCUAACCUGACUCUCUCUAAUCUGACUCUCUAUAAUCUGACUCUCUAAUGUGACUCUCUCUAAUGUGACUCUCUCUAAUCUGACUCUCUAUAAUUUGACUCUCUCUAAUCUAUCUCUCCUAAUCUGACUCUCCUAAUCUGACUUGCUCUAAUCUGACUCGCUCUAAUCUGACUCUCCUAACCUGACUCUCCUAAUCUGACUCUCCUAACCCGACUCCCCUAAUCUGACUCUCUCUAACCUUACUCUCCUAAUCUGACUCUCCUAACCUGACUCCCCUAAUCUGACUCUCCUAACCUGACUCUCCUAAUCUGACUCUCUCUAACCUGACUCUCUCUAAUCUGACUCUCCUAACCUGACUCUCUCUAAUCUGACUCUCUAUAAUCUGACUCUCUCUAACCUGACUCUCCUAAUCUGACUCUCUAUAAUUUGACUCUCUCUAAUCUGACUCUCCUAAUCUGACUCUCUAUAAUCUGACUCUCUCUAACCUGACUCUCCUAAUCUGACUCCCCUAAUCUGACUCUCUCUAACCUGACUCUCCUAAUCUAACUCUCUUAACCUGACUCCCCUAAUCUGACUCUCUCUAACCUGACUCUCCUAAUCUGACUCUCUCUAACCUGACUCUCCUAACCUGACUCUCUCUAACCUGACUCUCCUAAUCUGACUC
rnacentral:lncRNA from 1 species